GACGAACGCUGGCGGCGUGCUUAACACAUGCAAGUCGAACGGAAAGGCCCUGCUUGCGGGGUACUCGAGUGGCGAACGGGCGGGUAACACGUGGGUGAUCUGCCCGGCACUUCGGGAUAAGCCUGGGAAACUGGGUCUAAUACCUGAUAGAAGCCAUUUUUAGUUGGAUGGUUGUUAAUUUUUUUGGGUGUAGGAUGAGCUCCCGGCCUAUCGGCUUGUGGGUGGGGUAGUUGCAUACCAAGGCGGCGACCGGUGGCCGGCCUGGGGGGGUGGACGGCCACAUUGGGCCUGAGGGAGGGCCCAGACGCCUACGGUCGGCAACAGUGGGGAGUAUUGCACAAUGGGCGCGAGCGUGAUGCGGCGACGCCGCGGUGGGGAUGACGGGCUUUGGGUUGUGAACUCCUUUCGCUAGGGACGAAGCUUUUUGUGACGGUACCUAGACAAGAAGCACCGGCUAACUACGUG
rnacentral:rRNA from 1 species